rnacentral:rRNA from 1 species
AACGAACGCUGGCGGCACGCCUAACACAUGCAAGUCGAACGAAGCCUUCGGGCUUAGUGGCGCACGGGUGCGUAACGCGUGGGAGUCUGCCCUUGGGUUCGGAAUAACAGUUAGAAAUGACUGCUAAUACCGGAUGAUGUCUUCGGACCAAAGAUUUAUCGCCCAAGGAUGAGCCCGCGUAGGAUUAGGUAGUUGGUGGGGUAAUGGCCCACCAAGCCGACGAUCCUUAGCUGGUCCGAGAGGAUGAUCAGCCACACUGGGACUGAGACACGGCCCAGCCUCCUACGGGAGGCAGCAGUGGGGAAUAUUGGACAAUGGGCGAAAGCCUGAUCCAGCAAUGCCGCGUGAGUGAUGAAGGCCUUAGGGUUGUAAAGCUCUUUUACCAGGGAUGAUAAUGACAGUACCUGGAGAAUAAGCUCCGGCUAACUCCGUGCCAGCCGCCGCCGUAAAAC